AGAAACAAACUAAAGAACAAUUUCUUAUUUUAUAUUCAAUUAUAUAAUAUUAACUGAAAUAAAAAUCCAAAGUUGUACUUUAAUAUAUGUGAACGCUUCAAAAUUUUUGUGUCUGUGGCACUGAAACUGUCGAAGAGUACUAAAAAUCGAGACAUAAACCAAAGAUAGUAAAUGGCUGUAUCGUGGACUGCAACCAUAUUUGACUUUAAAGUAAGAGAAGAAGAAGCUGUGAAUGUACCCGUUGAGAAAUACAUGAAGAGGUUAUUUCAACUCCUGAUACAUACUUGAAGGCUGUUCAACAGUUGCAUGAGGUUCAGACAAAAUACCGAAGACGACUUUUUUCUAUUAUAAUUUCACCACAGCUGGCGAUUGAAAGGUUUCUUUUUCUUACAUGUCGAACCCAGGCCCAAUUCCCGGGGGAAGUAAAAAAACAGGCAUCUAAGAGAGGUUCAACCUCCACCCAUGCACAUCAGAAAGGGAGUAAAUACUAGAUAUACAGAACACAAUCCAGCAAUACGUACAACAACUGCUGGACUGCUUCAAAGACCUCGGAGUUAAUUCACCAUCCACAGCAGACGAAGAGCGCAACUUAGGUAUGAAUAUUGCAAAAGGUUAAACUCCUACUUACCCAGACUCGACCCCUACUUAACAUACACGACAUAUAUCCGCACAACACUAACCACCCCUUUACAUGGCCCCCCCUAAAACCGACACAUCUAUCCCCCUUUCCGACUGGUCCGAAGCCGCCGAAACAGCUCGUUUCCUGGACUUUCCGAUAAAUGACCUCGCUGACUUAGACUGACUAGACUGUCCCUAAGCGGGGUAGAGCAACUGCUACAACAAAAACGAAUCAAGAGACAGUGGUUACGCUGGCUAGGUCAUGUGGUCCGAAUGAAAGCGAACACUCCCGAUUUGAAAGUUUUCGAUGCAGUACCCGCUGGAGGAAGCAGAUGAAGAGGAUGAUCUCCACUCCGAAGUUAAUACCAGUUGGAAAAGGACCAGACUGUACUAAGUAUUUAAAAUACGCGCAGAACAGCUAAAAGAAUGAAUAAAGAAGAAGACAAAUUUUCUCAGUAAAACUCAACUUUACUUAAUAUUAAAGGGGCGAAGUGAUCUCCGCCAGCGCCGCAUUUUUCAACUUUCACAAGAUGCCAAUUUGUGUUGUUGCCUUAGAUGUCAGCUGCCUGGAUGAUAUGAAUUUUUCGUUAAUUAGAUAUAAAUGCAUACAUACGUACAUACAACACUUGCUACUUACUCCAUAAUUAGGCAUUAUAGUUAACCAACAACCAACAACCAACAACGCUCAGGCAUUAAAUCGAAAAUAUUUGCUCUAAAGAUUAGACUCGUCAGAGAACGUCGGAAAUGAAGGAAAAAUCAAAUAAAUUGGCUGCCAAAAAUAAAAGGCAUAAAUUGAUAA